rnacentral:rRNA from 1 species
AUUGAACGCUGGCGGCAGGCCUAACACAUGCAAGUCGAACGAGUGGCGGACGGGUGAGUAAUGUCUGGGAAACUGCCCGAUGGAGGGGGAUAACUACUGGAAACGGUAGCUAAUACCGCAUACCAUCGGAUGUGCCCAGAUGGGAUUAGCUAGUAGGUGGGGUAACGGCUCACCUAGGCGACGAUCCCUAGCUGGUCUGAGAGGAUGACCAGGCAAACCUGAACUUGGGCACGGGCCAAGCCCCUCAGGGGGGCAGGCAUGGGGAAUAAUGCCCAAAGGGCGCAAGCCUGGAGGCACCAUGGCCGGUGUUAGGAAGAGGGCUUCGGGGUGUAAAGUUCUUUCCACGGGGGAGCCUUUCCCGCAGAAGAAGCACCGGCUAACUCCGUGCCAGCAGCCGCGGUAAUUC